GAGCAUCUGACUCUCAUGCUACUGACCUGAGUUCCAGUCCUGGGCUCGAUGUUGGUGAACUUUCCUGUAAGGAGAAACGUGUUUAUGUAACAUUUGGUGAAGGAGUCUCCAGUGUCGGUGCUUUGUAGCAGUCAGAGCUGUUCUGUUCAUUGUCUGUGAUGGAGGAGAUGACAUGGACCAGGAGGUUACAGUGAGGUCAAUACAGAUGGACUGGAGCUUCAGGAGGCCGUCACACUCACCAUCUCUCACAGGGAGCUGGAACCAUAACGACCAAAACGGACCAAUCAGCAGGAAGAGUUUGGGCCAUUAACCAAUCAGAAAUCUCUGAUCCGGACAGGAGGCUGUAUCAUUAAACACAGGUGCACUGUUCACUCCUACAGCUGUCACAUUCGAUCAUUAGAAACCUAAAUUAAUCCAGUGUCUCCAUGAAAUGAAGAACAAGAGCAAAUAAAAGUGAAUAUUAGAUAAUAAUAAUAAUAAUAAUAAU